rnacentral:rRNA from 1 species
UGGGGAAUCUUCCGCAAUGGACGAAAGUCUGACGGAGCAACGCCGCGUGAGUGAAGACGGCCUUCGGGUUGUAAAGCUCUGUGAUCCGGGACGAAAGAGCCUGAGGUAAAUAGCCUAAGGAAGUGACGGUACCGGAAAAGCAAGCCACGGCUAACUACGUGCCAGCAGCCGCGGUAAUACGUAGGUGGCAAGCGUUAUCCGGAAUUAUUGGGCGUAAAGCGCGCGUAGGCGGUUUUUUAAGUCUGAUGUGAAAGCCCACGGCUCAACCGUGGAGGGUCAUGGGAAACUGGAAAACUUGAGUGCAGAAGAGGAAAGUGGAAUUCAAUGGGUAGCGGUGAAAUGCGCAGAGAUAUGGAGGAACACCAGGGGCGAAGGCGACUCUCUGGUCUGUAACUGACGCCGAGGCUCGAAAGCGUGGGUAGCAAACAGG